AUUAAACGCAAUUAUAAAUUUCAGUGUAUAUUGUUUGACCGUUGUCUUAUUUAAUAUUUUUAUUAAUUUUUAUUAUUAUUAGAUAAUAAAAUAUGAAUAGUAUUUUAUGUUUCACUUAAUUUUAAAAGUUUUUUUAUAAAUUUUUAAAUAAGAGGGAUUGUCAAAUGUUAAAUAUGAAAACUUAACUGUACUUAAA
rnacentral:pre_miRNA from 1 species